rnacentral:lncRNA from 1 species
CUCCUUGAUCUGUUUGUUUUGAUGUCUCUGACGUGUCCUCUGCUACACCUGACCUCAGGACUGAGUCUUACCCAGGUUUGCUGAAUGAAGGAAAGGGGAAACUACCCAAUUAUUGGGCAAUAUUUCACAAGUGACAUCUCAGUCAUCCACAGUGGAAGGGGAAGCUCAGUUCCCUCCUCUUUCAGCUGGAGACGAUGGGAGCAGGCAAACACUUCACUGCUUUGAAGUGCCAGCAGAAAGGCUUUCAGGAUCGUGGCCAACACCCUCUGCAAGUGUCUUUUGGAUCUCUCUCAGCUUGAGUAGAGACAUUUGAACAGGUAUCAGGUUGUGAGGGAGUUUAGCCAACUAAAAAGCUGAAGUGGAAAAAGAAGCUCAAGUGAACCCACCUAGGGAAAAGAGGCAGCUCUUGAAUGCAAAAGGCUUUAAACAGAAAACGGAAGGUACUGUUUUUAGAGGAAAGCAAACACAGGUCCUUGGGAAAGUAUUAAUUUAGCAGGGUUUUGAAAAAAUUUAUUUCUGUUUAUUCUCUUUGCUGAUGGGUAGUUAGGGAUGGGGAGAGAGUUCCAGGAAUUAAUUAAAACAAAAAUUGACAGUACUGGUACUUUCACUAAAUGUGUUUUAUGUAUACAUUACUUCCUAAGGCAGAAUCAAAAACUACAAAAAUGGUUCAAAUACUAGUAAAGGGCAUUAAAUUCACUAAAUCAUAACUCCCACUUCAGAGAAACAUCCCCAAAGGGGUGUAUAACCUUUUAUCUUCUUGUAAAAUUGCUAAGAAUCAAAAAGAGCUCUAGCUCUCACUUUAAAAAAUAAUGUGAUUUGAAAAAUAUGCACUGAUUAAAAAUUAACAUAUUCCCCAUGUACCUUUUCAUUUUAAUAUUAAGUUUGCAAAUACAGCCAAAGCAUAAAGUGGCAUCACCAGGGAUUGUUAAUGGCUCAUUGUUUCUUCUUCCAGGUCCUUGUGACUGAAAGUUGAUAUUUACAGAUACCUCUAAAAUGGGGAUACCUCUGGAUAAGUUAAUGGGAGCAUUACAAACCCAGCAGUUUCUGGUUUAUGCUCCUGAAGACUAGAGAAGCUGAAUUUUAAUAAAAUGCUUGGGAAAAAAAUAAAUUUGGUGUUC